rnacentral:rRNA from 1 species
UAACGCGUGAGUAACCUGCCUUGGAGUGGGGAAUAACAGCUGGAAACAGCUGCUAAUACCGCAUAAUAUGUCUGUGUCGCAUGGCACUGGACAUCAAAGAUUUAUCGCUCUGAGAUGGACUCGCGUCUGAUUAGCUAGUUGGCGGGGUAACGGCCCACCAAGGCGACGAUCAGUAGCCGGACUGAGAGGUUGGCCGGCCACAUUGGGACUGAGACACGGCCCAGACUCCUACGGGAGGCAGCAGUGGGGAAUAUUGGGCAAUGGGCGCAAGCCUGACCCAGCAACGCCGCGUGAAGGAAGAAGGCUUUCGGGUUGUAAACUUCUUUUCUCAGGGACGAAGCAAGUGACGGUACCUGAGGAAUAAGCCACGGCUAACUACGUGCCAGCAGCCGCGGUAAUACGUAGGUGGCAAGCGUUAUCCGGAUUUACUGGGUGUAAAGGGCGUGUAGGCGGGACUGCAAGUCAGAUGUGAAAACCACGGGCUCAACCUGUGGCCUGCAUUUGAAACUGUAGUUCUUGAGUGAAGUAGAGGCAGGCGGAAUUCCUGGUGUAGCGGUGAAAUGCGUAGAUAUUAGGAGGAACACCAGUGGCGAAGGCGGCCUGCUGGGCUUUUACUGACGCUGAGGCUCGAAAGUGUGGGGAGCAAACAGGAUUAGAUACCCUGGUAGU